UAGGACUUUCAACAAUGGAUAUCUUGGCUCUUGCAUCGAUGAAGAAUGCAAGGAAAUGCGAUACAUGGUGCGAAUUGCAGAAUCCCGUGAACCAUUGAGUUUUUGAACGCAAGUUGCUCCUGAGGCCAACUGGCCGAGGGCACGUCCGCCUGGGCGUCAUGC
rnacentral:rRNA from 1 species